rnacentral:rRNA from 1 species
GACGAACGCUGGCGGCGUGCUUAACACAUGCAAGUCGUACGGUAAGGCCCUUUCGGGGGUACACGAGUGGCGAACGGGUGAGUAACACGUGAGUAACCUGCCCACAACUUUGGGAUAACGCUAGUAAACUGGUGCUAAUACUGGAUAUGUACUCCUGCUGCAUGGUGGGGGUUGGAAAGCUCCGGCGGUUGUGGAUGGACUCGCGGCCUAUCUGCUUGUUGGUGGGGUAGUGGCCUACCAAGGCGGCGACGGGUAGCCGGCCUGAGAGGGUGACCGGCCACAUUGGGACUGAGAUACGGCCCAGACUCCUACGGGAGGCAGCAGUGGGGAAUAUUGCACAAUGGGCGCAAGCCUGAUGCAGCAACGCCGCGUGCGGGAUGACGGCCUUCGGGUUGUAAACCGCUUUCAGCAGGGACGAAGCUUUUUGUGACGGUACCUGCAGAAGAAGCACCGGCUAACUACGUG